rnacentral:rRNA from 1 species
UACAGAGGGUGCAAACGUUGCUCGGAAUUAUUGGGCGUAAAGCGCGUGUAGGCGGCUCGUUAAGUCGGUUGUGAAAACCCAUGGCUCAACCAUGGAAGUGCGUCCGAAACUGGCGAGCUUGAGUCCCGACGAGGAUGGCGGAAUUCCCAGUGUAGAGGUGAAAUGCGUAGAUAUUGGGAGGAACACCGGUGGCGAAGGCGGCCAUCUGGGAGGGUACUGACGCUGAGACGCGAAAGCGUGGGGAGCAAACAGG